AAAUAGCUGGAAUUACCGGCAGAUUGUUCAGUGGUGAUUACUAGUUUUCUGAACACAAAAUAACAAUAACAUCCUGUCUAAAAUGGACAAUCAGUGUUUGGUUUUCACCAUUAUGAAUUUUGUCCUUGUUUCUCGAGGUUGAACUGCUAAAAGAAGCUACUUAAAGAAAUUAAUCUGUUCUUAUGGAGUGGAAGCUACACAUCUAGAGUGCAACCCUGCCAGUCUGAUCCUGUCUCCCAGAGGUCUGCUGUUGAUUGAAUUUGUCAGGGCUGGAUCGAGUGGUUGCAGCAAAUCUGCAAACAUGCCUUGCUUUAAAGAUGACAAGAAGACUCAUGGGAACUGAACAUCGGCCUGAUUUACACAGUGUAAAAAGCAGAUUGACAAGAUGCUUUGUAUUAAAUAUUGUCAUCAAAACAG